UGGCGGCCUUAGCGCGGUGGUCCCACCUGACCCCAUGCCGAACUCAGAAGUGAAACGCCGUAGCGCCGAUGGUAGUGUGGGGUCUCCCCAUGCGAGAGUAGGGAACUGCCAGGUA
rnacentral:rRNA from 39 species